CGGAAGUUCAAGAUGAAGAACUCGUAAAUGCUUCAACUCCAAUAGAGAAGGCCUGAAAGAGCUUCUGAACACUGCGAUUGAUCGAACUUGCGAUAGUGACCCAAGGAUUGUUGUCGAUAUAAUGCCAUGCUCUUCAUCAGCAUCGUAUUGGACAGAAACUCUGUGGAUCUUUUUGUGUGCCCCUACCACGACUUGUGGAUGAUCUAGUACAACAAUAAAAUUCUCCUCUGCAGACUUUGAUCUGAUAAAAUCAAGCAUUAUAUCAUGAACUCUGCAGGACAACACCUCAUCAUUGUAGUCCACCUGCACAGGUUGGAUCAUGCUCCUGUUGAUGAGCUCGUUGAAGUAGCUUUGUGCAACAUCUUCUGAAUCUAACCCAUGGGUUCUACUGACAAAACCUUCAGCCAUCCAUUGCCUCACCAAAUCAUUCCUCUCUAUCGUGUGGUCCUCUGGAUAAAUACUAAGAUAUAGCAGGCAUGUCUUCAGAUGUUGAGGAAGAUUUCUGUAGCUAAAGUCCAGUAUAUGUUUCAUGUCUUCUAAAGUAGGAUUUCUUUCGAACAUGGAUCCCAAUGAAUUCCUUACAUACUCCCAUUUCGUCUUUGAUUGACCAGCUAGAAGACUGGAUAUGCUCAUAAUGGCAAGAGGCAAACCUCCACAUCUUUUUAGAAUAUCACCUGAAAUCUCUUCAAAUACUUCAGAGCAAGCUUCUCCAGUGCCAAAUAUUCUACUGAAUAAUAAUCUUCUUGAGUCUACCUCACCAAGUGGACUCAUGUUAUAAACAUAUUCUUUCUUAUUAGAGCAACAACUAAUAGCAACAGAGUAAAUCCUCGUAGUUGUAAGUACUCUACUGCCGUGAUUAUUUUCAGGAAAAGCACAUCUAAUAACAUUCCAUGCGGAUGAAUCCCAUAAAUCAUCAAUUACGAUGAAGUACCUCUUGUCUUGUAGAUAUUCUCGGAUAACCUUCAGAAGGUUAUCUAACUCGCCAAUGUGAAGAUUGUACUGCCCUGUAAGUUCUGAUAAUACUUUACUCAUAAGCCUUGUUAUAUCAGACCUCUGAGAGACUGACACAAAUGCUCGGCAAUGAAAAUGCCCAUCCAAUUUGCGGUACACUUCAUUGGCGAGUGCCCAUUCAUUAAUUCCAACAAUCCCACAAUAGAAGCCACCUUCAGCUGUUGCUCAUCAUCACCCAUCAACAAUUUGACAACGUCAUCUCUUGGGAUGUCAAUUCCCACAAGAUCAGCUGUGUUUGCAUAAAUAGUGACCACUCGUGGAUCAAUUGGCUCACAACUAGACUUGGAAGUGUACUCAUCAAGUUUGUACCUCAUUCGCCGCUCGUUCACCUCCUUGACAUGAUUCUUGAUCUCUUCAAUCUUCUUAGCAAU
rnacentral:sRNA from 1 species